rnacentral:rRNA from 1 species
CCUACGGGAGGCAGCAGUGAGGAAUAUUGGUCAAUGGACGAGAGUCUGAACCAGCCAAGUAGCGUGAAAGAUGACUGCCCUAUGGGUUGUAAACUUCUUUUAUAUGGGAAUAAAAUGUUCCACGUGUGGGAUUUUGUAUGUACCAUAUGAAUAAGGAUCGGCUAACUCCGUGCCAGCAGCCGCGGUAAUACGGAGGAUCCGAGCGUUAUCCGGAUUUAUUGGGUUUAAAGGGAGCGUAGGUGGAUUGUUAAGUCAGUUGUGAAAGUUUGCGGCUCAACCGUAAAAUUGCAGUUGAAACUGGCAGUCUUGAGUACAGUAGAGGUGGGCGGAAUUCGUGGUGUAGCGGUGAAAUGCUUAGAUAUCACGAAGAACUCCGAUUGCGAAGGCAGUUCACUGGACUGCAACUGACACUGAGGCUCGAAAGUGUGGGUAUCAAACAGGAUUAGAUACCCCAGUAGUC